rnacentral:rRNA from 1 species
UACGACUACAUAUCAGGCAUAUCAAUAAGCGGAGGAAAAGAAACUAACUAGGAUUCCCUCAGUAACGGCGAGUGAAGCGGGAAGAGCUCAAAUUUGAAAUCUUCAAGGUUUUACCUUGACGAAUUGUAGUUUAAAGAAGUGUUUUCUGUUGGUGUUUUGGUAAAAGUUCUUUGGAAUAGGACAUCAUAGAGGGUGAGAAUCCCGUAUUUGGUCAUUCCUCCUAGCGUUGUGAUACACUUUCAACGAGUCGGAUUGUUUGGGAGUGCAGUCCAAAAUGGGUGGUAAAUUUCAUCUAAAGCUAAAUAUUGGCGAGAGACCGAUAGCGAACAAGUACCGUGAGGGAAAGAUGAAAAGAACUUUGAAAAGAGAGUUAAACAGUACGUGAAAUUGUCAAAAGGGAAGCGUUUGACACCAGUGUUGUUUUCUCGAAAAUCAAUUAAAAAAUGCCUGAUUUUGUGUUGUAUUGACUUUAUCAAGCUUUCUUCACUUUUUUCAUGUCUUUUUUAAUGCACUUUUCGUUUAACAAGUCAACAGUCAGUUUCUUUUGUUGUAAAAAGGUCAUUGGAAGGUGGCUUUCUUUUCGGAGAAAGUGUUUAUAGCCUUUGACUCCUGCAAUCGGAGAGACUGAGGUCUGCAGCGUAGAUCCUUCUGGAUUAGAUUCAUUUGUGCUAAGUUAUAGCUUUUCAUAGACAACUUGUUGACUAUGUUUAGUCAUGUAGCUUACUCGCUUAUGUAAUUUUACCUACGCUUAGGAUGUUGAACGCGCACAGAGUCUC